CAAGACAAAUGCGGACAAUACAAGAAUACAAAAAACAAAUGCCAAGCUCUUUUUUAUUACCGAACCAAACAAAUAACAUCCUACACUUAAAGCAACCACCAACCGAGGAAAGAGCACAUACAAAGUUCCACAUAAAUAUCGGCUUCACAUACAAAGUUCCAAGAAUCCACGAAAUAUCAGCUCCCGAUGCUACAUACCGCACAAAUAAGUUGAUCGAUAAGCAAGUACCUGGAAAUUUUGACAUUCGUUUGUGUUCCUCAAUCUGCUCUGGACUGACCAGCUCGAGAAGAUA
rnacentral:lncRNA from 1 species